rnacentral:lncRNA from 1 species
GACAUUCACUACAUCGAGAACCCAGCUGCAGCAUAGGCUUGUUGAAUAUUCCAUAUGUCUCCCCGCAGACGAGAUCCUUGCCACACCACCCAACUGCAGGUGGAAAACCUGAGCAAGGUUCCGCCCACCGUUCCGGGUUGCAGAGAAGAUCCCCAAACCAACAUCUUCCUGGGUUUAGCACAGGCAAGCAGAUCUCCGGUUGUACGUGGUUUGCGGGAGGGGAAGGAUUAUGAAAGAAUUAGCUUUUAUCUUCAGAUCCAGAACUGUGUCCGGGCUGGUAUUGAACAGAAACAGACCGUGAGUUUAUCGUCCUGCCUCUGCCUUCCCACUGCUGGGAUUCCAUGUAUUGAGCAUGCCCGCUGUUAAUAGGUGCUGGGGAUGGAACUCAGGACAGACGAAGCAAGCACUCUACAGUGUCUGUACCAUGGUACCAGUGGAAGCCAGAGAGAGAGCUGGAGUCACAGUUGUCGGCCAGCAUGUCGGGGCUGGGAAUGCAACCUGUGUCUCCUGCCAGCGUAGCCAUUGCUCCAGCCCCUCUUUAAUAUAACAUGGUGGAGAACGUGGAUUGACUUUCAGAUGUAGCGGCUUUGAAUGUCAGGAAUAAAUUUCUUGGCCAUCUU